UCAAAUCUCUCUCCAAGCUUUCCUCCUCUAUGAAUGUCGAAGCCAAACCUAACCCGAACUCUGAAGCUUUCCUCUUCUCUCCAAUGGCAACAACCUUCUCCUCCACCACAUCAGGUCUCUCUUCAAGCUUCCACCUUUCAUGCUUCUCCUUCUUUGCACUUUUGCUCUUUUUAGUCCCAUUUCAGUGUCAAGAUCUAGUUCACUUUGAAUUCCACAACAGCGUGGAAGGAAUACAGUCAAGUUCAUGCAGUCGUUCUUGGAAAAUGUGAUGUUGGUCUGACUCUCGGUCAAAGAGAAUCCUCUCGUUUUUGGUUUUCUUGAUGAUCUGUUAAAAAUGCAUACAGUAUCAUGGUCAAUAAGUAAAGAGUGCUUGAAGGAAGAUGGGUGAUGAUUUUGGUUCUCGUCAAUCAAUAUCACAUCCAAUUGGGAAUUCAACCCAAUCAAAUGAAAUUGAAAGUCCUAAUCCUAAAGGUUCUUUUCCAAAUGAACAUGCCAUUGAAGAAGGUGCAGGAGAUCAUAUAGAGUCUACUAUACAAAGUGGAAGGUUAAAAAGUGUUGUGUGGAGUCAUUUUAAAAAGACUCGAGUUGAUGAAGAGGACAAAGCUCAAUGUAAUUAUUGUUAGAAAUUGCUCCGAGGAAAAUCAAAGAAUGGAAUGAAGCAUUUGCAUCUACAUAUGGAAUCAUGUAUCCAAUGAAUGAUUAGCCUAAGAGAGCAGAAACUUAUCACAUCUAAGAUGGUGAAAGGUAAACAAGAAAUGACAACUACAAUUUAUGAUCUAGAAUUUGCAAAGAAGGAGCUAGCUCAAGCAAUCAUUAUGCAUGAAUAUCCACUUUCGAUAGUGGAUCAUCUCAGUUUUAAAAAAUAUUCAUUCGCACUUCAAUCGCUAUUCAAAGUUUCUUCUCAAAACACCAUGAAGAAAGAAAUUUUAAAAAUUUAUGAUAUUGAAAAAACAGUAGAAUUAAAAUUGAUGGACACUAAUGAAGGAAGAGUGGAAAUUACAGCAGAAAUGUGAACAACAAGCAAUAAAAAAAUGGGGUAUAUGGCAAUUGUUGCACGUUAUAUUGAUCACUCUUGGAAUUUGCAAAGA